rnacentral:rRNA from 1 species
AACGAACGCUGGCGGCGUGUUUAAGACACGCAAGUCGCACGGGAUUGAUCGAGUAGCAAUACAAGAUCAGUCCAGUGGCGCACGGGUGAGUAACACGUGAAUCCCAUGCCCUUCAGAGGGGGAGAGCCCAGGGAAACUUGGAUUAAUACCUCAUGGUCUCGCAAGAGUAAACGGUGGCCGCAAGGCUGUCGCUGGAGGAUGUGUUCGCGCCCUAUCAGCUUGUUGGCGGGGUAACGGCCCACCAAGGCUACAACGGGUACCUGGUCUGAGAGGACGAUCAGGCACACUGGAACUUAGACACGGUCCAGACACCUACGGGUGGCAGCAGUCGAGAAUAAUUCACAAUGGGGGCAACCGUGAUGGUGCAACGCCGCGUGGAGGAUGAAGGUCUUCGGAUUGUAAACUCCUGUCAUCCGGGAGCAAGACCUGGCCGUGAAUAGCGGACAGGGUUGAUAGUACCGGAAGAGGAAGGGACGGCUAACUUCGUGCCAGCCGCCGCGGUAAAAC